rnacentral:rRNA from 1 species
UCUACGGGACGCAGCAGGCGCGAAAACUUUACAAUGCGGGCAACCGUGAUAAGGGAACCUCGAGUGCCUGUAUAUGCGGGCUGUCCAGGUGUCUAAAACACACCUGAAGAAAGGGCCGGGCAAGACCGGUGCCAGCAGCCGCGGUAAUA